rfam:Gorilla gorilla gorilla genomic chromosome, chr9, whole genome shotgun sequence
AUCCUUUUGUAUCUCAUAAACAUGAUUGGGUUUUCACACACACAUGUAAGAUGUGUCACCAUCAAUCCUUGUUAUGACAUCAGCACAUUACCCAUCUAACA